AUUGAACGCUGGCGGCAGGCCUAACACAUGCAAGUCGAACGGUAACAGGAAGAAGCUUGCUUCUUUGCGGACGAGGGGCGGGCGGGUGAGAAAUGUCUGGGAAACUGCCUGAUGGAGGGGGAUAACUACUGGAAACGGUAGCUAAUACCGCAUAACGUCGCAAGACCAAAGAGGAGGAGCUUCGGGCCGCUUGCCAUCGGAUUUGCCCAGAUGGGAUUAGCUAGUAGGUGGGGUAACGGCUCACCUAGGCGACGAUCCCUAGCUGGUCUGAGAGGAUGACCAGCCACACUGGAACUGAGACACGGUCCAGACUCCUACGGGAGGCAGCAGUGGGGAAUAUUGCACAAUGGGCGCAAGCCUGAUGCAGCCAUGCCGCGUGUAUGAAGAAGGCCUUCGGGUUGUAAAGUACUUUCAGCGGGGAGGAAGGGAGUAAAGUUAAUACCUUUGCUCAUUGACGGUACCCGCAGAAGAAGCACCGGCUAACUCCGUG
rnacentral:rRNA from 1 species